UCUUAGGUCUCUCUUUAUGUAGUGUUGUCUUAGGUCUCUCUUUAUGUUGUGUUGUCUUAGGUCUCUCUUUAUGUAGUGUUGUCUUAGGUCUCUCUUUAUGUAGUGUUGUCUUAGGUCUCUCUUUAUGUAGUGUUGUCUUAGGUCUCUCUUUAUGUAGUGUUGUCUUAGGUCUCUCUUUAUGUAGUGUUGUCUUAGGUCUCUCUUUAUGUAGUGUUGUCUUAGGUCUCUCUUUAUGUUGUGUUGUCUUAGGUCUCUCU